rnacentral:rRNA from 1 species
GAUGAACGCUGGCGGCGUGCCUAACACAUGCAAGUCGAACGGAGUCGUUUUGGAAAUCUCUACGGAGAUGGAAUUCUCGACUUAGUGGCGGACGGGUGAGUAACGCGUGAGCAAUCUGCCUUUAAGAGGGGGAUAACAGUCGGAAACGGCUGCUAAUGCCGCAUAAAGCAUCAAAUUCGCAUGUUUUUGAUGCCAAAGGAGCAAUCCACUUUUAGAUGAGCUCGCGUCUGAUUAGCUAGUUGGCGGGGUAACGGCCCACCAAGGCGACGAUCAGUAGCCGGACUGAGAGGUUGAGCGGCCACAUUGGGACUGAGACACGGCCCAGACUCCUACGGGAGGCAGCAGUGGGGAAUAUUGCGCAAUGGGGGAAACCCUGACGCAGCAACGCCGCGUGAUUGAAGAAGGCCUUCGGGUUGUAAAGAUCUUUAAUCAGGGACGAAAAAAUGACGGUACCUGAAGAAUAAGCUCCGGCUAACUACGUGCCAGCCGCCGCCGUAA